AUUGAACGCUGGCGGAAUGCUUUACACAUGCAAGUCGAACGGCAGCACGGGGCAACCUGGUGGCGAGUGGCGAACGGGUGAGUAAUACAUCGGAACGUGCCCAAUCGUGGGGGAUAACGUAGCGAAAGUUACGCUAAUACCGCAUACGAUCUACGGAUGAAAGCGGGGGAUCGCAAGACCUCGCGCGAAUGGAGCGGCCGAUGUCAGAUUGGGUAGUUGGUGGGAUAAAGGCUCACCAAGCCGACGAUCUGUAGCUGGUCUGAGAGGACGACCAGCCACCCUGGGACUGGGACACGGCCCAGACUCCUACGGGAGGCAGCAGUGGGGAAUUUUGGACAAUGGGCGCAAGCCUGAUCCAGCCAUUCCGCGUGCAGGAUGAAGGCCUUCGGGUUGUAAACUGCUUUUGUACGGAACGAAACGGUUCUCUCUAAUACAGGGGGCUAAUGACGGUACCGUAAGAAUAAGCACCGGCUAACUACGUGCCAGCCGCCGCAGUAAAAC
rnacentral:rRNA from 1 species